GACGUAGGGCGCGAGCGUUGUCCGGAUUUAUUGGGCGUAAAGAGCGUGUAGGCGGCCAGACGAGUCCGUUGUGAAAACUAGAGGCUUAACCUCUAGACGUCGAUGGAAACUGUUUGGCUAGAGUCCGGAAGAGGAGAAUGGAAUUCCUGGUGUAGCGGUGAAAUGCGCAGAUAUCAGGAAGAACACCCGUGGCUAAGGCGGUUCUCUAGUACGGUACUGACGCUGAGACGCGAAAGCGUGGGGAGCAAACAGG
rnacentral:rRNA from 1 species